CCCCUGAAGCUCUCGGAACUCCAGCACUUCCAGGAAAUCACGCACCACGCCAGCGUCAGGCACCACAUAGGACGGGUGGUGCCGGUGGUGAUGUCACAUCAUAUUAAGAAGUAAAAGGAUGGAAAGAACAAAACUGGAAUUCUAAUGAGGAACCUGAACAAGACGAGCGACUGAGUCAGUCGGCCAGGUCAGCUGCACGUGUGGAGUCGAGACCAAUAGGAGAUUAUUGCCAGAACAGAGAAGAGGAGAGGAGAACAAAGCAGCAGCCGUGUUCAUGUAACGCAGCAAUGCAGCAUAGGUACUUAGAGUGGUGAGAACAGCCGUGUUCAUGUUCUGCUAUAGGGGAGAUGUGUUUACAUCAGUGCAGGAGCUUCAGAG